CUAACCCUAAACCCCUUGUUUAGAAAGAUCCAGGGUAUUAAUGCUUGUGACAGAGCAGCCGCCUGCCGUGUGGGUGCCUGCACUCGCUGCUGAGUGACAGGCAGGAGAUCGAGACGGAGGCUGAAGUUGAUACGCCCCCCGCAGGCGAACAGGAUUUAUUACACAUCAACACACGAGCAGCUCAAUUCACACUACCAGCAACGGUAGAGCACGGAGCUCAUACAACACAGUGUAAGGAUGUAUUUCCCUGACCUUGUAGCUCUUCAGCUUAGCAUGCAGCCCGAAAUCCACCUGUGUAGGGAGAGACUGGCUUUUCAUAACUCAGAGUGCAGCUGUGACCUCGGGCAGAUAAGCUGCUUUGAGCCUAUAUACAAACCAUAAUCAAACCAAUUGAAACUGGUUCAAAAACCAUUUACUUUUGUUAAGUGACAUGCUAUAACUUUAGGUAAGUGUCACAGAACGCAUAACAGCACAGUAUUGAACACGUAGGUGUUUUCUGAUAACCACGCAGCUUGUGCGGGGCAGUGUGCACACUGUUCCAGUUAAACUGCACAAGCUCUUACUGUUUCAUUAGCCUUUGUUCCUUUUCCAUUACAUUACUGUUACUUAUGCUUCCCAUUUAAAUGGUAAAUAAAUCAUUGACACUGUGGGUAAACAUGGUGUGAUUUUCCUGCGUUUAAAUGUAAGCUCUGAGUCAACACAGGGUUAAUGAAAUCUUAAUCAAGCUGUGCACAGCUGGUGCACAUCAGCAGUUUGCAAUCACCAGUCUUGUUGCUCGACCUUGUGAUGCGUGGGUAUAGAGCAAUUGUGAGAAUUGAGCAAAACUCGUAUUGUUCUUAAACGUAACUUCUUGUUGUCUGGGUUUCUGCUGACAUUGGUAAAGAAGAAACACAAAUGCAGCUUUGAAUGUGCUUUGCCUCGCACCACGCUAGGGACAUAAGACCAAAUUUGGUAUAGGAAAUUACAUCAGCUAGCUGUACAUCUGUGCUGUACGAAGUCAUUUCUUUGGUCAGGUCGGGUCAGCUCAAAAACUAACAUCUACACUGAUGGCGGCUCAGAACACCAUCAACUGAGACUUGUGUGUGAGAUCACUGAUGCAUCACCUUUGAUUUGCUUUGUUCCUGCUUGUAUUGUGAUUCCUGAAUAAGCUAUUUUUGAUUAACUUUACCUGAAGAUGAUGAGUUAUUUUGAAGAAAAAUCGAACCUCUUACAUACUGGCGAGACUAGCUACGAGACGUUGACCCCCGACCAGAAAACACCUUCGGGCAAGAAAAUCCUUUUCCUGAGGCCAGGUCGACUUGGCUGAUUCUGAAGGCGAUUCAGACAAGGGGACAGGGGGGAAUCAAGCUGGCAGCCAGGAACGUGCAGCUGAGCACGCAGAACUGUUCACUCUGAGACAACGGGACCACUGAAAACUGCUCUUCUGCUCAGGAACCAAUGCCUCAAAUGUGAUAAUAUUGUCACCUACUCUGGACAUUUUUUUGUAAACAGUGUGGAAUUUGAAUGAUCUACUGUAGCGCUGAAUGUGUCUAGAAUGAAAGAAAAUUAAUGGUAAUCUUAUUUGUAAUAAUGUAUUAACAUACAACCUAGGGGAUAUAAGUUUUGUAUUAAUAUAGUUUAAAAAAAAAAAAUAGAUUACUAAUGAACAGAAUUAAACCUCAUAUGUUUAAUUACUGUUUUUGUUGCACAAAGGAUAAAACACACAAUGUUUCUCGAUGAUCAGGAAAUAAUAAAAUAUAAAUAAUUGGA